rnacentral:misc_RNA from 1 species
GGAAAUUGCAUCUGGCCCAAGAGCAGCGUCCCUUAAAAUGAAGGUUGGCCUGUUUGGUUGUGUUUCAGGAGGAACUAGCAACUGGAAAUGAGACUCUUGGGUUGAGCGCGAGACACCAACCCGUUACAGCUAAAGGGCUGAGGUGUAUUCCUUUCUUCCUUCUUUUUAUAUUUUUUUCUUUUUUGUUUUUCAAUGUUCUUAAUUUUGUAUACCCACAUCAGUUACCUGGGGGGAGGGAGAUUGGAUUGAAAAAAUGGAGAACAGUGUGCUGAGGAGAUUGGAUUGUGUUUCUCGUCACCUUU